rnacentral:sRNA from 2 species
GUGCUGGCAGCGCAAUACAUCACGGCAGGAGCGGGGGAACCACAGGUAGUUCGCCCAGGACCGGUCCACGGACCGGACCCGGGCUAGGGGUGAAGCCGCGUCCACAGCGCGGCCGGGCUACUCCGGCCCGAAUCCGACAGCUCACCUCGCAGGCGUGGGAGAGGACCA